AUAAUACAUGGUUAACCUCUUU
rnacentral:miRNA from 10 species